rnacentral:rRNA from 1 species
GCUUCGGCCGAAGCGGUGAAUUCAAGCCCCGGUAAACGGCGGUGGUAACUAUAACCAUCCUAAGGUAGCGAAAUUCCUUGUCGGGUAAGUUCCGACCUGCACGAAUGGCGUAACGACUUCCCCACUGUCUCGACCAGGAGCUCGGCGAAAUUGCAGUACGAGUAAAGAUGCUCGUUAAGCGCAGAAGGACGAAAAGACCCCGGGACCUUUACUAUACCUUGGUAUUGGCAUUCGGUGUGGAUUGUGUAGCAUAGGCGGAAGGCUUCGAAGCCACGGCGCCAGCCGCGGUGGAGCCGCAAGGUGAAAUACCGCUCUGUUCGCAUUGGAUGUCUAACCUCGACCAGUCAUCCUGGUCAGGGACAGUGCCUGGCGGGUAGUUUAACUGGGGCGGUUGCCUCCCAAAGAGUAACGGAGGCGCUCAAAGGUUCCCUCAGCCCGGUUGGCAAUCGGGUGGCGAGUGUAAGUGCACAAGGGAGCUUGACUGCGAGACUGACGGGUCGAGCAGGGACGAAAGUCGGAACUAGUGAUCCGGUGCCGGUGUACGGACGCGGCAUCGCUCAACGGAUAAAAGGUACCCCGGGGAUAACAGGCUGAUCAUUCCCAAGAGUCCAUAUCGACGGGAUGGUUUGGCACCUCGAUGUCGGCUCGUCGCAUCCUGGGGCUGGAGCAGGUCCCAAGGGUUCGGCUGUUCGCCGAUUAAAGCGGCACGCGAGCUGGGUUCAGAACGUCGUGAGACAGUUUGGUCUCUAUCCUCUGCGCUCGUCGGAAUGUUGAGGAGGCCUGCCCAUAGUACGAGAGGACCUGGGUGGACGAACCUCUGGUAUGCCGGUUGUCACGCCAGUGGCACGGCCGGUUGGCUACGUUCGGAAGGGAUAACCGCUGAAAGCAUCUAAGCGGGAAGCCUGCUCCAAGAUAAGCAUUCCAUAGGACUACGGGUCCUUGAAGUCCCCAUGCAGAACACGUGGUUGAUAGGCCGGACGUGGAAGCCCCGCGAGGGGUGGAGCCGACCGGUACUAACGGACGAAAGGCAACACAAC